rnacentral:rRNA from 1 species
GAUGAACGCUAGCGGGAGGCCUAACACAUGCAAGCCGAGCGGUAUUUGUUCUUCGGAACAGAGAGAGCGGCGCACGGGUGCGGAACACGUGUGCAACCUGCCUUUAUCUGGGGGGUAGCCUUUCGAAAGGAAGAUUAAUACCCCAUAAUAUAUUGAGUGGCAUCACUUGAUAUUGAAAACUCCGGUGGAUAGAGAUGGGCACGCGCAAGAUUAGAUAGUUGGUGAGGUAACGGCUCACCAAGUCAAUGAUCUUUAGGGGGCCUGAGAGGGUGAUCCCCCACACUGGUACUGAGACACGGACCAGACUCCUACGGGAGGCAGCAGUGAGGAAGAUUGGACAAUGGGUUAGCGCCUGAUCCAGCCAUCCCGCGUGAAGGACGACGGCCCUAUGGGUUGUAAACUUCUUUUGUAUAGGGAUAAACCUACUCUCGUGAGAGUAGCUGAAGGUACUAUACGAAUAAGCACCGGCUAACUCCGUG